UCCUGCCCCAGUCUCUGGAGAAGAAUGGUUUUUCUAAUCAAAGGAAACUUCAUGGAAUGCCUGAAGUCCGGUGGCUCCCUGAUAACCAGGAGUAACAAGAUGUAACAGCAGAGGCCAUCAAUCCUCCUGCCCAAAGGAGCCAACUGGGGCCAACCAGAACAUCUCUGCUGCUUGCUAAGGAAGUGAGUGUGUUUUCUGGAGCUGCUGCUAUGAUUGCUGGAGAGAAAGAUGAUCUAAAAAGUCAGCUGUGAAUUUAUUGCUGCCCAUUCUCCAAGCAGACUGCCUGUGGACUCAAACUGCCAACCUUACCUGAGUCUCCAGCCUGCUGAGCUCCUGACCAGAUUUUGGAC